rnacentral:rRNA from 1 species
UACGUAGGGGGCUAGCGUUGUCCGGAAUCAUUGGGCGUAAAGCGCGUGUAGGCGGCUUGCCAAGUCCGAUGUGAAAGCUCGGGGCUUAACCCCGAGUCUGCAUUGGAAACUGGCUUGCUUGAGUCCGGAAGAGGAGACUGGAAUUCCUGGUGUAGCGGUGAAAUGCGCAGAUAUCAGGAAGAACACCGGUGGCGAAGGCGGGUCUCUGGGACGGUACUGACGCUGAGACGCGAAAGCGUGGGGAGCAAACAGG